GACGAACGCUGGCGGCGUGCCUAAUACAUGCAAGUGGGACGCAAGGAAACACACUGUGCUUGCACACCGUGUUUUCUUGAGUCGCGAACGGGUGAGUAACGCGUAGGUAACCUGCCUAUUAGCGGGGGAUAACUAUUGGAAACGAUAGCUAAUACCGCAUAAUAUUAAUUAUUGCAUGAUAAUUGAUUGAAAGAUGCAAGCGCAUCACUAGUAGAUGGACCUGCGUUGUAUUAGCUAGUUGGUAAGGUAAGCGCUUACCAAGGCGACGAUACAUAGCCGACCUUGCGGGGUGAUCGGCCACACUGGGACUGAGGCACGGCCCAGACUCCUUCGGGAGGCAGCAGUAGGGAAUCUUCGGCAAUGGACGAAAGUCUGACCGAGCAACGCCGCGUGAGUGAAGAAGGGUUUCGGAUCGUAAAGCUCUGUUGUAAGUCAAGAACGUGUGUGGGAGUGGAAAGUUCACACAGUGACGGUAGCUUACCAGAAAGGGACGGCUAACUACGUG
rnacentral:rRNA from 1 species